rnacentral:tRNA from 2 species
AGGAGUGUAGCUCAGAUGGAAGAGCAGCGGUCUCCAAAACCGCAGGUCGGGGGUUCGAAUCCUCCCACUCCUGCCA